rnacentral:rRNA from 1 species
GAUGAACGCUAGCGACAGGCCUAACACAUGCAAGUCGAGGGGCAGCACAUGAGUAGCAAUACGAUGGUGGCGACCGGCGCACGGGUGAGUAACACGUAUGCAACCUGCCUGUAAGAGGGGAAUAACCCGGAGAAAUUCGGACUAAUACCGCAUAAUACCACGAGACUGCACGGUUUUGUGGUUAAACAUUUAUGGCUUACAGAUGGGCAUGCGUAUGAUUAGAUAGUUGGUAGGGUAACGGCCUACCAAGUCUACGAUCAUUAGGGGUUCUGAGAGGAAGGUCCCCAACUGGUACUGAGACACGGACCAGACUCCUACGGGAGCAGCAGUGAGGAAUAUUGGUCAAUGGGCAGAGCCUGAACCAGCCAAGUCGCGUGAAGGAAGAAGGUUCUAUGGAUUGUAAACUUCUUUUGCAGGGGAAUAAAGGACGGUACGUGUACUGUUUUGUAUGUACCUUGCGAAUAAGGAUCGGCUAACUCCGUGCCAGCAGCCGGGUAA